rnacentral:rRNA from 1 species
GAUGAACGCUGGCGGCGUGCCUAAUACAUGCAAGUCGAGCGAACGGACGAGAAGCUUGCUUCUCUGAUGUUAGCGGCGGACGGGUGAGUAACACGUGGAUAACCUACCUAUAAGACUGGGAUAACUUCGGGAAACCGGAGCUAAUACCGGAUAAUAUUUUGAACCGCAUGGUUCAAAAGUGAAAGACGGUCUUGCUGUCACUUAUAGAUGGAUCCGCGCUGCAUUAGCUAGUUGGUAAGGUAACGGCUUACCAAGGCAACGAUGCAUAGCCGACCUGAGAGGGUGAUCGGCCACACUGGAACUGAGACACGGUCCAGACUCCUACGGGAGGCAGCAGUAGGGAAUCUUCCGCAAUGGGCGAAAGCCUGACGGAGCAACGCCGCGUGAGUGAUGAAGGUCUUCGGAUCGUAAAACUCUGUUAUUAGGGAAGAACAUAUGUGUAAGUAACUGUGCACAUCUUGACGGUACCUAAUCAGAAAGCCACGGCUAACUACGUGCCAGCAGCCGCGGUAAUACGUAGGUGGCAAGCGUUAUCCGGAAUUAUUGGGCGUAAAGCGCGCGUAGGCGGUUUUUUAAGUCUGAUGUGAAAGCCCACGGCUCAACCGUGGAGGGUCAUUGGAAACUGGAAAACUUGAGUGCAGAAGAGGAAAGUGGAAUUCCAUGUGUAGCGGUGAAAUGCGCAGAGAUAUGGAGGAACACCAGUGGCGAAGGCGACUUUCUGGUCUGUAACUGACGCUGAUGUGCGAAAGCGUGGGGAUCAAACAGGAUUAGAUACCCUGGUAGUCCACGCCGUAAACGAUGAGUGCUAAGUGUUAGGGGGUUUCCGCCCCUUAGUGCUGCAGCUAACGCAUUAAGCACUCCGCCUGGGGAGUACGACCGCAAGGUUGAAACUCAAAGGAAUUGACGGGGACCCGCACAAGCGGUGGAGCAUGUGGUUUAAUUCGAAGCAACGCGAAGAACCUUACCAAAUCUUGACAUCCUUUGACAACUCUAGAGAUAGAGCCUUCCCCUUCGGGGGACAAAGUGACAGGUGGUGCAUGGUUGUCGUCAGCUCGUGUCGUGAGAUGUUGGGUUAAGUCCCGCAACGAGCGCAACCCUUAAGCUUAGUUGCCAUCAUUAAGUUGGGCACUCUAAGUUGACUGCCGGUGACAAACCGGAGGAAGGUGGGGAUGACGUCAAAUCAUCAUGCCCCUUAUGAUUUGGGCUACACACGUGCUACAAUGGACAAUACAAAGGGCAGCGAAACCGCGAGGUCAAGCAAAUCCCAUAAAGUUGUUCUCAGUUCGGAUUGUAGUCUGCAACUCGACUACAUGAAGCUGGAAUCGCUAGUAAUCGUAGAUCAGCAUGCUACGGUGAAUAAGUUCCCGGGUCU